rnacentral:rRNA from 1 species
GUUAGGAAUCUUCCACAAUGGGGGCAACCCUGAUGGAGCAACACCGCGUGCUGGAUGAAGGCCUUCGGGUCGUAAACAGCUUUUGUAUACGAAGAAUAUGACGGUAAUAUACGAAUAAGGGUCGGCUAACUACGUGCCAGCAGCCGCGGUCAUACGUAGGACCCAAGCGUUAUCCGGAGUGACUGGGCGUAAAGAGUUGCGUAGGCGGCUUAUUAAGCGAGUAGUGAAAUCUGGUGGCUCAACCAUCAACACAUUGCUCGAACUGAUAGGCUUGAGAAUGGUAGAGGUAGUUGGAAUUUCUUGUGUAGGAGUGAAAUCCGUAGAUAUAAGAAGGAACACCAAUGGCGUAGGCAGACUACUGGACCAUUUCUGACGCUGAGGCACGAAAGCGUGGGGAGCGAACCGGAUUAGAAACCCCAAGUCC